AUUGAACGCUAGCGGGAUGCUUUACACAUGCAAGUCGAACGAGUGGCGGACGGGUGAGUACUAUAUCGGAACGUGCCCAGUAGCGGGGGCUAACUACUCGACAGUGUUGCUGAUACCGCAUACUAUUUGCGCGGCCGAUAUCGGAUUAGCUAGGUGGUGGGGUAAAGGCUCACCAAGGCAACGAUCCGUAGCUGGUUUGAGUGGACGACCAGCCACACUGGGACUGAGAGACGGCACAGACUCCUGCGGGAGGCAGCAGUGGGGAAUGUUGGACAAUGGGGGAAACCCUGAUCCAGCCAUGCCGAGUGUAUGAGAAGGCCGUCGGGUUGUAAAGUACUUUUGGCAGAGAGGCGGUACCGGCAGAAUAAGCACCGGCUAACUACGUGCCAGCAGCCGCGGUAAUUC
rnacentral:rRNA from 1 species